rnacentral:rRNA from 1 species
UCGAGAAUUUUUCUCAAUGGGGGAAACCCUGAAGGAGCGACGCCGCGUGGAGGAUGAAGGUCUUCGGAUUGUAAACUCCUGUCAUUGGUGAACAAGGCCCUCGGUUAACUGCCGUUGGGUUUGAUAGUAGCCGAAGAGGAAGAGACGGCUAACUCUGUGCCAGCAGCCGCGGUAAUACAGAGGUCUCAAGCGUUGUUCGGAUUCAUUGGGCGUAAAGGGUGCGUAGGUGGCGAGGCAAGUCUGGUGUGAAAUCCCGGGGCUCAACCCCGGAACUGCACUGGAUACUGCCUUGCUUGAGCACUGGAGAGGGAACUGGAAUUUACGGUGUAGCAGUGAAAUGCGUAGAUAUCGUAAGGAAGACCAGUGGCGAAGGCGAGUUCCUGGACAGUUGCUGACACUGAGGCACGAAGGCUAGGGGAGCAAACG